rnacentral:tmRNA from 1 species
GGGGCUGAAUUGGUUUCGAUAAGGGUUGUAUCCUGCCUGGCUGUAAGGAUACAUUAAAACGGAAUAAUAAUAUUUCUGGCCCAUACACGGGGGUUCGAUUCCCCCCAGCUCCACCA